rnacentral:rRNA from 1 species
AUACGUAGGUGGCAAGCGUUGUCCGGAUUUACUGGGUGUAAAGGGGGCGCAGGCGGGAAGCUAAGUUGGAUGUGAAAUACCGGGGCUCAACUCCGGAGCUGCAUCCAAAACUGGUUUUCUUGAGUGGAGUAGAGGCAAGCGGAAUUCCGAGUGUAGCGGUGAAAUGCGUAGAUAUUCGGGGGAACACCAGUGGCGAAGGCGGCUUCCUGGGCUCUAAAUGAAGCUGAGGCCCGAAAGCGUGGGGAGAAAACAGGAUUAGAUACCCUGGUAGUCCACGUCGUAAACGAUGAUUACUAGGUGUGGGGGGUCUGACCCCUUCCGUGCCGCAGUUAACGCAAUAAGUAAUCCACCUGGGGAGUACGGCCGCAAGGCUGAAACUCAAAUGAAUUGACGGGU